GAUUGAACGCUGGCGGCAGGCCUAACACAUGCAAGUCGAGCGGUAACAGAAAGUAGCUUGCUACUUUGCUGACGAGCGGCGGACGGGUGAGUAAUGCCUGGGAAUAUGCCUUGAUGUGGGGGAUAACUAUUGGAAACGAUAGCUAAUACCGCAUAAUGUCUUCGGACCAAAGAGGGGGAUCUUCGGACCUCUCGCGUCAAGAUUAGCCCAGGUGAGAUUAGCUAGUUGGUGGGGUAAGAGCUCACCAAGGCGACGAUCUCUAGCUGGUCUGAGAGGAUGAUCAGCCACACUGGAACUGAGACACGGUCCAGACUCCUACGGGAGGCAGCAGUGGGGAAUAUUGCACAAUGGGCGAAAGCCUGAUGCAGCCAUGCCGCGUGUAUGAAGAAGGCCUUCGGGUUGUAAAGUACUUUCAGUCGUGAGGAAGGGUGUGCAGUUAAUAGCUGUAUAUCUUGACGUUAGCGACAGAAGAAGCACCGGCUAACUCCGUGCCAGCAGCCGCGGUAAUACGGAGGGUGCGAGCGUUAAUCGGAAUUACUGGGCGUAAAGCGCAUGCAGGUGGUUCAUUAAGUCAGAUGUGAAAGCCCGGGGCUCAACCUCGGAACCGCAUUUGAAACUGGUGAACUAGAGUGCUGUAGAGGGGGGUAGAAUUUCAGGUGUAGCGGUGAAAUGCGUAGAGAUCUGAAGGAAUACCAGUGGCGAAGGCGGCCCCCUGGACAGACACUGACACUCAGAUGCGAAAGCGUGGGGAGCAAACAGGAUUAGAU
rnacentral:rRNA from 1 species